UACCUUUGCACACGAAUUGGAAAAACUUCGAUUCAUACAUAAUAAUCAUUUAAAUAAUAUUAGCAUG
rnacentral:ncRNA from 1 species